rnacentral:lncRNA from 1 species
GCUCUUCUUUGCUGAGCUGCUGCCUCUGGCCUGUAGCAGGUUUGUAACCCCAGAUCAGAAGUAUUCCAUGGACAACACUCCCCACACACCAACCCCGUUCAAGAAUGCUCUGGAGAAAUAUGGACCACUGAAACCCCUGGUAUGUGGCAUGGAUGCUGUGAGUCUCUGGGCUGGGUUUAUCUAACAUGGGAUGACGAACCCUUUUUUCUCUGGGGUCUCUAUAUUCUAGCAAAGUACAGUUUCCACUUGUCACCUCAUCUACAUGCCCUGAGUCCCCUCAGCGCACCGGGCAGAUACUGGCUGGCUGAUGAGGUAGUGGUGACUUGGAUGGGGGAUGUGGAUAUUAAAACGCAUGCUAUCUAAAAAACGGAAGAGUUUACUGUAAAGGAAAGGGUUGAGAGGUGCUGGCCACACGCCUAUAAUACCAGUACCUGGCUGGUGGAGGAGGCAGGCAGAUCAAAAGUUCGAGGUCGUCCUCUGCUGCCUAGCAAGUUUGAGGCUAGCCUAACUGGCACGAGACCCUAUUUUUAAGAAAAAGCUGGAAGCCAGGUAUGGUGGUCUUCUAAUCCAGCACGUGGGUUCCUGGGGCAAGCGGAUGGAGAGCCAGUCUUCACAACAUGGGGAGGAAGGAAGGGAGCUCCUGAGCAACGGAAAUGGACACCCUUGUGUCCCAGUUAGUGUGGAGCAAAGACAGA